AGAGUUUGAUCCUGGCUCAGAACGAACGCUGGCGGCGUGCUUAACACAUGCAAGUCGAGUGCGCGCCUGUAGCAAUACAGGUGGCGCACGGCGCACGGGUGCGUAACACGUGGGUAACCUGCCCUUUGGUGGGGAAUAACUCCGCGAAAGCGAAGCUAAUUCCGCAUAAGAUCCGCAAGGAUGAAAGCCGAAAGGCGCCGAUGGAGGGGCCCGCGCACGAUUAGCUAGUUGGUAGGGUAAUGGCCUACCAAGGCUUUGAUCGUUAGCUGGUCUGAGAGGAUGGCCAGCCACACUGGAACUGAGACACGGUCCAGACUCCUACGGGAGGCAGCAGUGGGGAAUCUUGCACAAUGGGCGAAAGCCUGAUGCAGCGACGCCGCGUGGGGGAUGAAGCUUCUCGGAGUGUAAACCCCUUUCGAUCCGGACGAAUGCCCGCAAGGGAUUGACGGUACGGAUAUAAGAAGCCCCGGCUAACUACGUGCCAGCAGCCGCGGUAAUACGUAGGGGGCCAGCGUUGUUCGGAAUUACUGGGUGUAAAGGGUUCGUAGGCGGUGCGGCAAGUUGGGAGUGAAAUCUCUGGGCUCAACCCAGAGGCUGCUUCCAAAACUGCCGUGCUUGAGUGUGGGAGAGGCUCGUGGAAUUGCAGGUGUAGCGGUGAAAUGCGUAGAUAUCUGCAGGAACACCCGUGGCGAAAGCGGCGAGCUGGACCACUACUGACGCUGAAGAACGAAAGCUAGGGGAGCAAACAGGAUUAGAUACCCUAGUAGUCC
rnacentral:rRNA from 1 species